CGAUGAAGAACGCAGCGAAAUGCGAUAAGUAAUGUGAAUUGCAGAAUUCAGUGAAUCAUCGAAUCUUUGAACGCACAUUGCGCCCCUUGGUAUUCCGGGGGGCAUGCCUCUUCCAGCGUCAUUUCACCACUCCCGCUCUGCGGGGUCUUGGGCCACGCCGGCAACGGCGGGCCUCGAAAACAGUGGCGGCGCCAUCGUGCUCUCAGCGUAGUAAUUCUUCUCGCUGUUGGGUCCCGGUGGUCGCCCGCCAGCAACCCCCAACUUUCUAAGUUUGACCUGGGAUGAGGUAGGGAUACCCGCUGAACUUAAGCAUAUCAAUAAGCGGAGGAAAAGAAACCAACAGGGAUUGCCUCAGUAACGGCGAGUGAAGCGGCAACAGCUCAAAUUUGAAAUCUGGUCCUUUCAGGGCCCGAGUUGUAAUUUGUAGAAGAUGCUUCGGGUGUGGCUCCGGUCUAAGUCCCUUGGAACAGGGCGUCAUAGAGGGUGAGAAUCCCGUAUGUGACUGGCUGCCUCCGCCCAUGUGAAGCUCUUUCGACGAGUCGAGUUGUUUGGGAAUGCAGCUCAAAAUGGGUGGUAAAUUUCAUCUAAAGCUAAAUAUUGGCCAGAGACCGAUAGCGCACAAGUAGAGUGAUCGAAAGAUGAAAAGCACUUUGGAAAGAGAGUUAAACAGUACGUGAAAUUGUUGAAAGGGAAGCGCUUGCAAUCAGACUUGCGCGCCGUCGAUCAUCCGCGGUUCUCCGUGGUGCACUCGGCGGCGCUCAGGCCCGCAUCGGUUUCGGUGGUCGGAUAAAGGCCUUGGGAAUGUGGCUCCUCUCGGGGAGUGUUAUAGCCCUCGGUGCAAUGCGGCCUACCGGGACCGAGGACCGCGCUUCGGCUAGGAUGCGGGCGUAAUGGUUGCAAGCGACCCGUCUUGAAACACGG
rnacentral:rRNA from 1 species